rnacentral:rRNA from 1 species
AUUGAACGCUGGCGGAAUGCUUUACACAUGCAAGUCGAACGGCAGCACGGGGCAACCUGGUGGCGAGUGGCGAACGGGUGAGUAAUACAUCGGAACGUGCCCAUGUCGUGGGGGAUAACGUAGCGAAAGCUACGCUAAUACCGCAUACGAUCUACGGAUGAAAGCGGGGGAUCGCAAGACCUCGCCAGAUUGGAGCGGCCGAUGGCAGAUUAGGUAGUUGGUGGGGUAAAGGCCUACCAAGCCGACGAUCUGUAGCUGGUCUGAGAGGACGACCAGCCACACUGGGACUGAGACACGGCCCAGACUCCUACGGGAGGCAGCAGUGGGGAAUUUUGGACAAUGGGCGCAAGCCUGAUCCAGCCAUUCCGCGUGCAGGAUGAAGGCCUUCGGGUUGUAAACUGCUUUUGUACGGAACGAAACGGUCCUGGUUAAUACCCGGGGCUAAUGACGGUACCGUAAGAAUAAGCACCGGCUAACUACGUGCCAGCCGCCGCAGUAAGAC